GGGCCCAUAGCGCAGCGGUAGCGCACCUGCAUGGCAUGCAGGUGGUCGUGGGUUCGAAUCCCACUGGGUCCA
rnacentral:tRNA from 1 species